UACGUAGGGUGCAAGCGUUAAUCGGAAUUACUGGGCGUAAAGCGUGCGCAGGCGGUUUUGUAAGACAGGCGUGAAAGCCCCGGGCUCAACCUGGGAACCGCGCUUGAGACUGGCAUGCUCGAGUUCGGGAGAGGAUGGUGGAAUUCCCAGUGUAGAGGUGAAAUUCGUAGAUAUUGGGAAGAACACCGAUGGCGAAGGCAGCCAUCUGGACCGACACUGACGCUGAGGCGCGAAAGCGUGGGGAGCAAACAGG
rnacentral:rRNA from 1 species